CCACCUGUUUGUGUUUACAAUUCAGAACAUGUGAACUUCAUCAGUGACACCACAUCAGCUUAGAAACCUCUGCUUGAACUUGAACUGAGACUUCUAGAAACAUUUCUCAGGCUUUUGGAUGCAAAUAUUGCACUGAUCAUAUAUUAAAUGGUUGUAAUUGUAUGUGAUGUGUACCUUGAUGGUUCAACCUCAACAAGUUCUAAUAGUGACCCAUUCUCUGUGCAGAAGUAAAUUCUCCUAAAGUAAGCACAAAUUUUGUCAGUCUUUUCUGAUUAUGGAAGAUGUUAUGUUCAUCCAGACUAUAUUACUCAGACUCUUCCUCUUACCACAAGCACCCAUGUUGAAUCCUCAACACUCCGUUAUAGUGUGGUCAACUGAAGCUUCAAUCUUUGUCCAAACUAGUUGUGAAUUUUCGAUCAGCUGCAUCUGAAAAAGGAAAAUUGUUAAUCAUGCUGGAAUUAAGAACAACCUUAUGAAAAAUGUUAAUUACUUAAUUGUUCUCCACAGUACACGAGAAGUUUACCUGAUAAAGAUACCCUGCUUCAGAAAGGGCAAGAAUAGUCUGAUUGACAAAAAACACAGAUAUUGCAGGCUCAACAGAUGCAGGCAAAUCAUGGGGAGCAAUCACCCAUUGAACUCCAUUCCAGAAUCUCUCAUAGAUCGAACCACUCUCACCGGUGAUCCAGAUUGAUGCAUCAGACAUUUUUGUCAAAGAAACGCGCUUCCUCAAAGGUACCCAACUGUCUGACUUCUCAUCAAACUGAAACAACCCAUUGAUCUUUCGCCUGGGAGGACUCGUGACAGACCCGAAACCAGUAAACCAAGUUAGUGACAAGCUGCUAACUAAGAUGAUGGACACCAAAUAUGUAUCUGACAUGUUGGAUAUGCAUGAAACAUUCAGGAAACAGGUUUAAAAAAAUUCUAAGACCAAUCCUACAGAAAGAAGGAUAUUUUUCUGAUAGACAAACAGGUAUCUGAAUUGUUAGUUGUUCUUAUGGUUAUGGGGGGUGACCCAUAUGAUAUGUGUUGUCCCUGGCAGAAAUGGUCCAAGCUGAAUAUUUUUUGAAAGCUUAUAUACUUCCUCCGUUUCUUUUUA